CCUACGGUAUGCAGCAGUGGGGAAUAUUGGACAAUGGGCGAAAGCCUGAUCCAGCCAUGCCGCGUGUGUGAAGAAGGCCUUCGGGUUGUAAAGCACUUUCAGUGGGGAAGAAAGCCUUGGGGCUAAUACCCUCGAGGAAGGACAUCACCCACAGAAGAAGCACCGGCUAACUCCGUGCCAGCAGCCGCGGUAAUACGGAGGGUGCGAGCGUUAAUCGGAAUUACUGGGCGUAAAGCGCGCGUAGGCGGUCUGAUAAGCCGGUUGUGAAAGCCCCGGGCUCAACCUGGGAACGGCAUCCGGAACUGUCAGGCUAGAGUGCAGGAGAGGAAGGUAGAAUUCCCGGUGUAGCGGUGAAAUGCGUAGAGAUCGGGAGGAAUACCAGUGGCGAAGGCGGCCUUCUGGACUGACACUGACGCUGAGGUGCGAAAGCGUGGGUAGCAAACAGGAUUAGAUACCCCUGUAGUC
rnacentral:rRNA from 1 species